rnacentral:lncRNA from 1 species
CUGCUUCAAAUCUCCUAAGAGGCAGGGGAAGUCCGGAGCCUACUGUCUGCUUGCAUUGGAGAGAGGAAGCAUGUUUAUAGGUCAGUCCACGUUGUCUGUUACAUGCAUAUCUCACCUAAUCUUCG